CACAGGCGUCACUACAUGGUAGUAUCCGCCAACUACAGAGCAGAGUUCUACACCAUGUACAGUAUUGGGACCUGCAUGCAGUGGUGUAGUCUACGUGAUACGCAGGUAUACGCCGUAUACCUACUAGGAACGCACCAGGAUUUGCGUAUACCCACUUAAAAAUGUGCACGGAUACGUAUCAAUCGUUUUGUGACAGAUCUUUCACUUCUGUGUUUAUUUUGCGCAAAUACCGGUUGGGUAUAACUGCAAUAAAAUACUUUAAGCAGGGGAAGUUAUUUCCUACAUUCACCAUUCAUAAAAUUCCCCCUGCCCUGUCUCUGUUACGAAGCGCGAAGCUGCCCCUGCAUCUCUGCACGUUAGUUGGCGGGCCAAGCCCCUCCUUCUCGCAUGUGUGUGCGUGCGAGCGUGGGUGUGUGUGUGUGCGUGUGUGUGUGUGUGUCCAGUCCUCCCAUAUUAAUGUGUAAACCACAUAACAAGUAGUCAACAGAAGACAAUGUUUUAAUUCCACUUUAUAUCUUCUUGUUACUUUUAGAUGAGAACCCCUGGCCAGCCUUUCAGACUGAGUGUCAGGCUAGGGAGUUUAAAAACUGGCAUCCUUGGUUAGAGUGGAGGGAAAAAAAGUUAGCUAAAUGUCAGCCAACAUACAGUUGGUAAACACAAUUGAAAUUCAUAAUGUUAAUCACUAUGCAAAUGAUGGUAUGUUAGAUAACAACAGUAAGAGCUCAAAUUAGAGCAAUUGAAAGAGUGAAACAUUAGUCUCCUGUCAUCUCCUUCUCAUGCACUGGUUAGCCAUGGUUGUAAACAGUUCAUUAAAUUAUUUUGAGUAGAUUUUGUCCUUGUUUAGCAUGUGCUAUUGCUACUAUAGAUAUACAAAGGACAACUUGUCAUUUUUGUGUUCUAUUUGUUCAUACUGUUAUUAAAACUGAUAAACCUACUCAGCUUUCAAUGAUUGUUGAUAAUCGUUAUACUCUUAAAUCAGCGGGUUGUCGACCCCUGCGUUGGUGAGUGUGGUGCAACACCCCAUAAGCGCCACACACGUACACGUACCGGUGGGACGGGUUUGUACAAGGCUGGGAGGGAAUCAUCACAAUAUACCCACAACAAAAAAAUAGACUACACCACUGCCUGCAUGGCAUGUGGUCGGCUCUACAAAGUCUGCACAGGAUAUAUUGGUACAGGGAAAAGAGGCAAACUGGAAGGAAUAUAUUCCGACAGCUACGACGGGGGGUACUGUGAUGAC